CGCCCGUGAUGAGCGGUGGGUGAAUCGAGUGGAAGCUAUCCUACAAAAAACGCGGCCGUCCUGCAGCAUUUCAGGAACUCGCCAACUCGCGGAUUGCCAGUGCUGAGCCGCCACGGCAUGCAGAGAAAUCGGACAUGGUCAAGCAACUGCCCCCGAGCAAAGUGUCCACUAACGUGCACAGUUCGUCAGCCAGCUGCAAAGCUGGCAUGCUGAGGUGGGCGCCUGCCUGCACCAGCAGCUCAAUGAUGGCAUGCUGGUCACAGAGGACGGCACUCCCGGUCAACAUCUCCCCGUGCUGUGACUGAACAGAGGAUACUGGGAUACAGCACCGUCUGCAGGGACUGAAGUUCCUGCAAAGAGAAUGCA